GAUGAACGCUGGCGGCGUGCCUAAUACAUGCAAGUCGAGCGAACGGACGAGAAGCUUGCUUCUCUGAUGUUAGCGGCGGACGGGUGAGUAACACGUGGAUAACCUACCUAUAAGACUGGGAUAACUUCGGGAAACCGUAGCUAAUACCGGAUAAUAUUUUGAACCGCAUGGUUCAAAAGUGAAAGACGGUCUUGCUUUCACUUAUAGAUGGAUCCGCGCUGCAUUAGCUAGUUGGUAAGGUAACGGCUUACCAAGGCAACGAUGCAUAGCCGACCUGAGAGGGUGAUCGGCCACACUGGAACUGAGACACGGUCCAGACUCCUACGGGAGGCAGCAGUAGGGAAUCUUCCGCAAUGGGCGAAAGCCUGACGGAGCAACGCCGCGUGAGUGAUGAAGGUCUUCGGAUCGUAAAACUCUGUUAUUAGUGAAGAACAUAUGUGUAAGUAACUGUGCACAUCUUGACGGUACCUAAUCAGAAAGCCACGGCUAACUACGUG
rnacentral:rRNA from 1 species